GUGCGACCCCAGGAUGGGCGGGAUGACCCGCUGAGUUUAAGCAUAUCAAUAAGCGGAGGAGAGGAAACUUACGAGGAUUCCCCUA
rnacentral:rRNA from 9 species